UGGGGAAUAUUGGACAAUGGGCGAAAGCCUGAUCCAGCCAUGCCGCGUGUGUGAAGAAGGUCUUCGGAUUGUAAAGCACUUUAAGUUGGGAGGAAGGGCAGUAAGCGAAUACCUUGCUGUUUUGACGUUACCGACAGAAUAAGCACCGGCUAACUCUGUGCCAGCAGCCGCGGUAAUACAGAGGGUGCGAGCGUUAAUCGGAUUUACUGGGCGUAAAGCGUGCGUAGGCGGCUAAUUGAGUCGGAUGUGAAAUCCCCGAGCUUAACUUGGGAAUUGCAUUCGAUACUGGUUAGCUAGAGUGUGGGAGAGGAUGGUAGAAUUUCCUGUGUAGCGGUGAAAUGCGUAGAUAUAGGAAGGAACACCAGUGGCGAAGGCGACCACCUGGGCUCAUACUGACACUGAGGUGCGAAAGCGUGGGGAGCAAACAGG
rnacentral:rRNA from 1 species